UACGUAGGCAGCGAGCGUUGUUCGGAGUUACUGGGCGUAAAGGGUGUGUAGGCGGUUUUCUAAGUUUGGUGUGAAAUCUCCCGGCUCAACCGGGAGGGUGCGCCGAAAACUGGGAGACUAGAGUGCGGGAUGGGAGAGUAGAAUUCCUGGUGUAGCGGUGAAAUGCGUAGAUAUCAGGAGGAAUACCGGUGGUGUAGACGGCUCUCUGGACCGCCACUGACGCUGAGACACGGAAAGCGUGGGUAGCAAACAGG
rnacentral:rRNA from 1 species